rnacentral:rRNA from 1 species
UGGGGAAUUUUGGACAAUGGGCGAAAGCCUGAUCCAGCAAUGCCGCGUGUGUGAAGAAGGCCUUCGGGUUGUAAAGCACUUUUGUCCGGAAAGAAAUCCUUGGCUCUAAUACAGUCGGGGGAUGACGGUACCGGAAGAAUAAGCACCGGCUAACUACGUGCCAGCAGCCGCGGUAAUACGUAGGGUGCAAGCGUUAAUCGGAAUUACUGGGCGUAAAGCGUGCGCAGGCGGUUUGCUAAGACCGAUGUGAAAUCCCCGGGCUCAACCUGGGAACUGCAUUGGUGACUGGCAGGCUAGAGUAUGGCAGAGGGGGGUAGAAUUCCACGUGUAGCAGUGAAAUGCGUAGAGAUGUGGAGGAAUACCGAUGGCGAAGGCAGCCCCCUGGGCCAAUACUGACGCUCAUGCACGAAAGCGUGGGGAGCGAACAGGAUUAGAUACCCUGGUAGUCCACGCCCUAAACGAUGUCAACUAGUUGUUGGGGAUUCAUUUCCUUAGUAACGUAGCUAACGCGUGAAGUUGACCGCCUGGGGAGUACGGUCGCAAGAUUAAAACUUAAAUGAAUUGACGGGGUCAUAGCUGUUUCCU